rnacentral:rRNA from 1 species
AGCUAGUUGGUGGGGUAAAGGCUCACCAAGGCGACGAUCUGUAGCGGGUCUGAGAGGAUGAUCCGCCACACUGGAACUGAGACACGGUCCAGACUCCUACGGGAGGCAGCAGUGGGGAAUUUUGGACAAUGGGGGCAACCCUGAUCCAGCCAUGCCGCGUGAGUGAAGAAGGCCUUCGGGUUGUAAAGCUCUUUCGGCCGGGAAGAAAUCGUAUCAGCUAAUACCUGGUGCGGAUGACGGUACCGGCAUAAGAAGCACCGGCUAACUACGUGCCAGCAGCCGCGGUAAUACGUAGGGUGCGAGCGUUAAUCGGAAUUACUGGGCGUAAAGCGUGCGCAGGCGGUUUUGUAAGACAGGCGUGAAAUCCCCGGGCUCAACCUGGGAACUGCGUUUGUGACUGCAAGGCUAGAGUACGGCAGAGGGGGGUGGAAUUCCACGUGUAGCAGUGAAAUGCGUAGAGAUGUGGAGGAACACCAAUGGCGAAGGCAGCCCCCUGGGUCGAUACUGACGCUCAUGCACGAAAGCGUGGGUAGCAAACAGGAUUAGAUACCCUGGUAGUCCACGCCCUAAACGAUGUCAACUAGGUGUUGGGAGGGUAAAACCUUUUAGUACCGGAGCUAACGCGUGAAGUUGACCGCCUGGGGAGUACGGCCGCGAGGUUAAAACUCAAAGGAAUUGACGGGGACCCGCACAAGCGGUGGAUGAUGUGGAUUAAUUCGAUGCAACGCGAAAAACCUUACCUACCCUUGACAUGUCAGGAACUUUCCAGAGAUGGAUUGGUGCUCGAAAGAGAACCUGAACACAGGUGCUGCAUGGCUGUCGUCAGCUCGUGUCGUGAGAUGUUGGGUUAAGUCCCGCAACGAGCGCAACCCUUGUCGUUAAUUGCCAUCAUUUAGUUGGGCACUUUAACGAGACUGCCGGUGACAAACCGGAGGAAGGUGGGGAUGACGUCAAGUCCUCAUGGCCCUUAUGGGUAGGGCUUCACACGUCAUACAAUGGUCGGUACAAAGGGUCGCCAAGCCGCGAGGUGGAACUAACCCCAGAAAGCCGAUCGUAGUCCGGAUUGCAGGCUGCAACUCGCCUGCAUGAAGUCGGAAUCGCUAGUAAUCGUGGAUCAGCAUGUCACGGUGAAUACGUUCCCGGGUCUUGUACACACCGCCCGUCACACCAUGGGAGCGGGUUCCGCCAGAAGUAGGUAGCCUAACCGCAAGGAGGGCGCUUACCACGGCGGGGUUCGUGACUGGGGUGAAGUCGUAACAAGGUAGCCGUAGGGGAACCUGCGGCUG